rnacentral:rRNA from 1 species
GUGGGGAAUAUUGGACAAUGGGCGAAAGCCUGAUCCAGCCAUGCCGCGUGUGUGAAGAAGGUCUUCGGAUUGUAAAGCACUUUAAGUUGGGAGGAAGGGCAGUAAGUUAAUACCUUGCUGUUUUGACGUUACCAACAGAAUAAGCACCGGCUAACUUCGUGCCAGCAGCCGCGGUAAUACGAAGGGUGCAAGCGUUAAUCGGACUUACUGGGCGUAAAGCGCGCGUAGGUGGUUCAGCAAGUUGAAGGUGAAAUCCCCGGGCUCAACCUGGGAACUGCCUCCAAAACUACUGAGCUAGAGUACGGUAGAGGGUAGUGGAAUUUCCUGUGUAGCGGUGAAAUGCGUAGAUAUAGGAAGGAACACCAGUGGCGAAGGCGACUGCCUGGACUGAUACUGACACUGAGGUGCGAAAGCGUGGGGAGCAAACAGGAUUAGAUACCCGAGUAGUCC